AGAAGGACGUGGGAAUCUGCGAUAAGCCUGGUGGAGUCGAUAACCGGACGUUGAGACCAGGAUUUCCGAAUGGGGAAACCCCGCACGACGUGUCGUGUGACCCCCGGUUGAACACAUAGACCGGGUGGAGGGAACGUGGGAAGUGAAACAUCUCAGUACCCACAGGAAGAGAAAACAAAAGUGAUUCCGUUAGUAGUGGCGAGCGAACGCGGAUGGGGCUAAACCGUAUGUGUGUGAUACCCGGCAGGGGUUGCAUGUGCGGUGUUGUGGGCCCCUCCUUGUCAUGUCUGCCGGCAUGGCGCAGUGAGGUGCGGGCAUAUAGACGAACCAGUGUGGAUGCUGGACCGUAGAGGGUGAGAGUCCCGUAGUCGAAAUGUGUUCCGCCGCUGUUGGGGGGUUGCCCGAGUAGCACGGGGCCCGAGGAAUCCCGUGUGAAUCUGCCAGGACCACCUGGUAAGCCUGAAUACUACCUGUUGACCGAUAGCGGAUCAGUACCGUGAGGGAAUGGUGAAAAGUACCCCGGGAGGGGAGUGAAAUAGUACCUGAAACCAUGUGCCUACAAACCG
rnacentral:rRNA from 1 species